rnacentral:rRNA from 1 species
ACGGAGGAUCCGAGCGUUAUCCGGAUUUAUUGGGUUUAAAGGGUGCGUAGGCGGGCUGAUAAGUCAGCGGUGAAAGUUUGUGGCUCAACCAUAAAAUUGCCGUUGAAACUGUUAGUCUUGAGUAUGUUUGAGGUAGGCGGAAUGCGUGGUGUAGCGGUGAAAUGCAUAGAUAUCACGCAGAACUCCGAUUGCGUAGGCAGCUUACUAAACCAGAUCUGACACUGAAGCACGAAAGCGUGGGUAUCAAACAG